UCUCCUUUCUCCAGAAUCUUGGGAAUCCAUGAGAUAUUCCGAAACAAAUGGCUGCUGUCCUUAGCUUCCCCUGCAGACACACAUAUCAAGAUAUCUGUGUAAUGUUUUAACUUAUCCCUUAGUUUCCAGGGCUGAAAUCCACUCCAGAUCCCCAGAAUUAAAUUCUCAGCAGGACCUCCCUAUGGUCUGGUGCUAAGGAAUGCUUUUGGAUGAGGAUCAGCUGUGGUGCAGAGGUUGGAAAGCAGCCUGAGAUCAGUGCUGAGGUUGGGAAGAACUUUGGGAUGGGUGAGAGCUGACAGUUCAGCUGCCUGGACUCAUGGAUGCCUCCUAAAAACCAUGGUUACCUGGGAAAAGAGGCUAACCCCCAUCUUGCUUGAAGAAAGGUAACACGCUUGAAUGGAAUAAAGCCCUGAGCAUUGGGUGAAAUUGCUGUGGGUUUGUGCCCACAUAAUGCAGUGGAACCAUCACCCUUCAGUGCCCGGACUGGCAGAUUUUCCUGAGGAUGGGAAGUGUGUUGCUUGGAAGAGGAUGGACUCCGUUGUCCUCCAGGUAAGAGCCAGCUCUGCUCAUCACUUCACCUUAAGUCCAGACCCACCUCUUAGUAUUGCUAGAGCAACAGGCACGCUGCAGUACCAAUUGGCAAAGGCUGUGUCCCUUACAAGGGAGUUAAUGAGAAUUGGUUCAGGAUUCUAUUCCAAAAUGGAAGACAGCAUCAUGGAAUAGCUGGAGAUAAAACACCAAACCUUAUCAGGGCACAGCAGGUGAGACAAGAUAAUCUGCUGUAAGUCUUUUACUGUCUGAUAUCCAAGGACAAAUUCACAAUGUUUAGCCCAGUACAGGCUGUUACAGAGCAGAUUUGCACUGUACAGGUGGUACAACAGCAGCUCAACUUUGUAUAAGGCAGGUAAACCACUCCCAGCAGUGGGCAUCCCAAAGCAGGGGAGCAAGGACAACAGGGGCUGACACAGGAAGGUGGUUCAGGAGGCACUGCUGGGUUUCUGCUCAGGGAGGGCUGUGGUGAUGCUGAACUGGGGGGGGGCUCCAGUUCCUGCAAUAUAGAACCCAAAGAGAUUCAGCACCAUUCACUUCUUAACCAU